GUUCCUUCUUUUCCAUAAAUUUUUAAUUUUAAAUAAUAUAAUUGGAAUUAUGUUCAUGUUGUAGGUAUAAAUUUAUGAUCAUUAGAGGCAGCUUCCCAGAGGGAGGAUGAUGGUGUCAAGAGAAUGAUUCAUGUUUCUUAUGACACAUUUCCUCCAUCUGUUUUCUCCCUUUUGCAAUUUGGGAAAUCUGAAGCAAAUUGAACUUUUGCAGAUUUUGGAAGGAUAUUGAUUUUUUUCCCUUUUGAUGAUAAUUCUAGUUACAAAUGUGAUUGAAAGUUUAGCCGGAAUGGAUUCUCUGAAAUAGGAAAGAGUAUAUAAUCUUGUUUGUCUGUUGAUAUCAGAGUUGAGAAAUAGAUUUCCCUCUGCAAUUGAAGAUUUUUUAUGGUU